UCGGGAAUUUUGGGCAAUGGGCGAAAGCCUGACCCAGCAACGCCGCGUGAAGGGAUGAAGUAUUUCGGUAUGUAAACUUCGAAAGAAUAGGAAGAAUAAAUGACGGUACUAUUUAUAAGGUCCGGCUAACUACGUGCCAGCAGCCGCGGUAAUACGGGGGGUGCAAGCGUUAAUCGGAAUUAUUGGGCGUAAAGGGUGCGUAGGUUGUUUGAUAAGAUAUAUGUGAAAUACCUGGGCUCAACCUGGGAAGGUCAUAUAAGACUGUCAGACUCGAGUAUGGGAGAGGGUAGAGGAAUUUCCGGUGUAGCGGUGAAAUGCGUAGAUAUCGGAAGGAACAUCGGUGGCGAAGGCGUCUACCUGGCCUAAUACUGACACUGAGGCACGAAAGCGUGGGGAGCAAACAGGAUUAGAUACCCGGGUAGUCCCUGAGCGGGCUGGCAAGGCGC
rnacentral:rRNA from 1 species